AUGGCGUUCAGCGGUGCCCAGAUUCUCGCUGCCUUCACCCUGGGCUUUCUUCUCAUGGCCUUCUGUGUGGAGGCUAAGAUAUGCACGGCCCCUAGCAAGUGGGGCCAAAUGAGCACUUGCAAGACCACGGCUUGCAUCGGGGCCUGUCAGUACGAGCACUUUAAGGGUGGGUACUGCUCCAGCAACGACGGCAACUACUUUCACAUACCUAAGAGAAAGACGUGCAUGUGUACAUAUGACUGCUGGAAAAACCCCACCACCACUGUCAGAACCUACGUGCCUAAGCCACCGGGUGAACCCGAGGUGCCCGAUCCUAAGAAGAAGUCGCCGCCAUAUGAACGUGAUGUGCCGGAGCCGCCCUCGGGAGAAAACAAGAAGAAAAGCUUCCGCCAGCUGCCAACCAGUGAGCAAAUGGUCUAG
rnacentral:rRNA from 1 species